rnacentral:rRNA from 1 species
UUAUUGGGCCUAAAACGUCCGUAGCCGGUACUAUAAAUGCCCGGGUAAAUCGUAUGGCUUAACCAUACGAAUUCCGGGUAGACUGUUAGACUUGAGACCGGGAGAAGCUAGAGGUACCCCUGGGGUAGAGGUGAAAUUUUGUAAUCCUAGGGGGACGACCAGUGGCGAAGGCGUCUAGCUAGAACGGGUCUGACGGUGAGGGACGAAGCCCUGGGGCGCAAACGGGAUUAGAUACCCCGGUAGUCCAGGGUGUAAACGCUGCUUGCUUGAUGUUAGUCUGGAUCCGAGCCAGAUUAGUGUCGGCGAGAACUUGCUACCCAACCUGCCUGGG